GGUAACCUUGCAGUACCAAGUGGUGGGUGAACAACCAUAGUGAUCGAAAUCAGUCAUCAUCUGCUUGUGAAACUCCUUUACAUUUCCGUUAAUCCUCGAAACACAAAGUGCACGGCCGGGCAGUCACUUGAGGUCACAAUACAUGGACAAGAUGCAGAGAGAAAGACAAAACGCAUCAAACGGCAGGUGUGCGGGAGAGGAGAUUCAAUACACCUUUCUGAAGAUAAGUUUGUUUCCACGUAAGAACUGGAGAGAGGAGUUGCGAUGAAGUGGAUUUUCUGCAGGAGAGUGAAAAGUGAGGCUGCAUCUCGGUCACGAGCGGAGGGGAAAGGAAGGAAGGAUGGAAGGAUCGGGGAGCAGAUACAAGAAGUGAAAAAUUUCAAUCUAUUCCUUCGUCGCUACUUGAGGGAGGUAUAAAUUCUGAUCGUGCCUUGCCUUGAAAACACUGCUCCAUCUCUCUCUCUCUCUCUCUCUCCCUCUCCUUUCCCAUUCUUGAGAUGUUGCUUAAGUGUGAGAAGAGACGAUGACGCAAUGCAACACAACACAACACAACACAACACAACACAGCAUCACCCAAAAUACACAAACACAUUGUCAUUUAUCCUCGCGACAGUACUGAGAGACCUAAGAAAAUAAUGAAAACAGUGAAUGUGGAACGUGAUCUAGAGAGAAUAAUAAACUUGGAAGAAGAGAAUGAAUAAAAGGUCAAAGAACACAAAUGAAGAACGAGAGAGAGACGAGUACGAGGAAAUAGUGGAACGAGAGGAUGAAGGUGGAAUGUAGCGCAGAGGUGAUUGGAUUGAAAGCUAAGAGGAAAACAACAAAAGUCUUGAUAACGAGAACGAAAACGAAGACGAGGACGCGAAGGGCUAUCAGCUAUCAGAAGGAGGAAGAGAAAACAAUGUACAAACGGAAUGAGUGAAAGUGGAAUGCUGGAACUGCUGGAAGAUGUGAAGAAAAUCAAUAAAAAGAAGAAUAACGAAAAUGAAGACGAGGAGAGGAACAAAGAGGAGGAUGAGAGAAUAGUAAGACAAAAUAAGUAAAGGUGGAAUACUGGAAAGGCUGGAAAAUGAAAUAAAAGAAUAUCUGGAAACUGGAACAAGAAUGAGAACGAGAACGAGGACGAGGACGAGAGAUUUGAUCCGCGACCUGGCAGGCUCAGAAGUCCAGUGGCGAGGACAAAGGUCGAGGAGACGCGGAGGGGACACGUGCUGGAAAUGUAACAUGCAGACACGCUCGGGCCGUUAAGGCGGGGGAUCCUGGGGCUGGAGGAAGGCUCUCGGGAAGGCCCUGGGACGUGUCUAACGGCGUGACUCCUCGCUGCGGUGUCUGGUGUUUGUUGCCCCAGCCCCCCACCUCCUGCACCACCUUCUGCACCGCCUCCUGCACCGCCUCCUGCACCGCCUCCUGCACCGCCACUGCCAGGCACAUAUCUGCUGGGGAGGGCCCGCUAUUGGUCGCCCAGUGGAUGUCUUCCGCUUCUUCCUCCCGUGUGAUUGGUGAGUACGAUGGAUUGAUCAUUACUGUGUGCAAGGGUGUGACUUAUAUGCCAAGUUAACCUGAACAGAGGAAGAAAAUGCAAACACUAUUGGGUGAAAAUGUUUGCUGAAAGCCGCAAUGAUAGAGAUUUUUUUACCUCAUAUACACGUAAAUGUCGUGCGUUCGUGACCACCCAGGCGUGUUGCACGGGGAGAGGCACCCCUGUACUGUUGCUGCAAUGCCCUUGAUCAUGGCUUCAUAUCGUGGUAGUCAUGUGGCGGGAGAGAUAACGCCUUUCCGUAACGCCAAUAUGGAUAAUUACCGUUCCUUUUCUAUC